AGCAUGAUCAUUAUGUGUGAUCAGUGAUCACAAAUGUGAACAUGUGGGGAGUGAGCAUCUGUCCCAUUGUCCCUGGAGCUCCGUGAUGCAGGUUAUCCAUCUUGCCUGUAUCCUACUAGCAGGCCAAUAUGCAAAAAUCUAUGCAAGACCAAACACAUGCCAUUGGAAAUUAUAUCUCUGUAUGUACUAUAGUGCCUUGUACCUCCCGUAGUCAUUAGAGUCUCACCUAAUGCUUUCUUAAAAUAAUUUAGUUACAAUGAGGGCUAAGUGGGCUUGUGUAUCAAAGGCUGAAAGAAAUAUCUGAAAGAAAAUGAACCGACAACAGAUCUUUUGUGUGAGGCAUAAGCCAUUUCUAAUAUGGAUUUAUUUCAGUUCUGAAGCAAGAAAUUGCGGGACUCUAAUAGUUUUGCCACCUGUGAAUUAUUUGGGUGCACCUCCUAAGUGGGUUCUCUCUUCUAUUUGUUUAAAGAAGUGAGUGACAUGCUCGCCAAUUCUACACUACAUUAAUUUUCACAGACUUUCCAUCUUCAUCUUCAUUGCCUUUUCAGAUUUUUUUCCAAAGCUUCUGCCAUCCUCCUCCUAGAGUAUUUUUUCCUUCAUUUUCCCCCCUAGGGGCUUUCUUUACAUUAGUUUGGUUUACUGGUAUAAACGUUAGAACAAAGGAGUGUGAUAACCCAAGACAUCCUGACCUAACUUCCAAGAGCAUAAAAGAAAUGAGACAGGAAAUUGUCAACAACCUAUAAUAAUUUCAAACUGUCCAAUAAAAUAAAUAUACCUCACUCCAAUCUUAUAGAGAGGUAUGGUCGGGUAUCUGAUUUCCCAACCCAUUUUGUAGGCUAUAAUCUCAGCCACCACUUGAAGUCUUUACAUGUAUUGUUUAAAUAUUGAACUUUGUCAGCAGAACCAGAAAUGAAAAGGGGUAAUGGAAACCAUCAGAGUGCCCAUUGUUCCUGGGCUGGAGUGAGAUUUGGAAAAAGAUCUUGGAAGAAAUUUCCUGCUCUUUCAUAAGAGUUGUUCUAGCCAUUGGUCAUUGAGCCCUUGCUCUGGGGCUUGUAGCUUGCCUGAAAUGACAAGCUUGCUUUGAAUUUACUGUUACAGAAGGAUCUUGAUAGCAUGUAGACUGCCAGAUCUUGCACCCUGUACAGAAUGUAGCCUCUAAUGAUGGGGACCCCUUUGGAGGUAAGAAUUUGGUGUCAUCAUAUCCAACACACACACACACAAACACACACACAAUCUGCCUCCUUGAUGGCAGGCAGAAUUUUAUUUAAAUAGGUACUUAUUGUAAGCUUGCUCUGUGAAUAAGUGAAGCAAUUGUCCAUCAUUGCACUUUUGUUUGACAAAUAACUGAAUUUAAAAUGCAAAGUGUUGACUGGGAAAUUUGAGUCCCAUCUAUCAGCAAUACCUCUUAAGUAGGGUCAACCAUACAAUCCAGAUUCCCUUCCUUUAGGUCACUGUUUUCAUUGAAUUCUUUCUAGAAGCCUGGAGCUCUUCUUAAUUGAGAGGUGGGAGGGGGUUGAAGUACUGUGACCUUGUAGCCACUGAAGCUGAAACUCAAGGUUCAUUGUAGGUUUACAAACGUCCAGGUGACAGGCUGUGUGACAGCAGUCAAGUGUCAUUUCUCUUGCUUUCAAAUCAACAAAUGUGAGUAAUUUGCUGACCUGUAUAUAAAACUAACUUCCUAAGGGUCUUGUAUAUAGUAGGUCUCUAAGAAUUGGCUGCCUUCCUUGAAUCAAUGUGAAAUUGUAUAAUUCCAGGGUCAGCUGUGUCUCAGUACUAUGUUUGGUGCUGGAUAGGUUAUGCUAAACAAAGUAGACACGGUGUAAAAAGUGGGCCUUUCUACAUGUAAUAUCAGAAAGGAUUUGGGAUAGGGGUGGGCGAGACAGGAAUUAACUGGCCAGUGCUUUCCAUUGGUUUUAUGUUGCUGUCAUGAUAUUAUUUUCUUUAAACUGUAUAUUUAACUAUUGCUGAUGUAAGGGUGUCUCUGCCUAAAGAAAUAGACAUAUUAAUUCAUUAUUUAUAGUGAUUCAAGAAGGAAUGUGCUAGAAAAACUCUAAGUCUCUAAAGAUUUAUAUUUAAGGUCAUUUUUUGAGUUUCGCCUUUUUUCCCACUGAAGUUCUUCUUUUUUUUAAAUAGCAAUAUUGAAACCUAAGAUUAACGAGUGUAUUAUGCUGUCUCUGUGUUUAUUUGAUACAUAAACACCUGUCUUUUCCAUCUUAGGGCUAUGCUAAAGAAAUGAAACCUUUAACCCAGCCCCUCAUUCAAGCAAGCAGAAGGCUGGUCAGGAGAGUAUGGGAUGCUACUAGCUGUGGUCUUCCCUCAAGAAGUUUACUAACUGGUGCUGGAUGAGGCUAAGACAACCUACAGGCUGCAGGAUCUUUUCUUCAGUGCUGGGGAUUGACCCCAGGACUCUGUCCAUUCAAAACAGGCACUUAACCACUGAGCUGAACCCCCAGCCAGAUGACAGACUCU
rnacentral:lncRNA from 1 species